rnacentral:lncRNA from 1 species
UGCUUCCUACAGGAUCCCUUUAACAGGGCCGCCGGGGAGCGCUACCGCAGAGAGAUGUUAGCCCACGGUGGGGGCAAGGAACCUAUGCUCAUGAUUCAAGCCUGACAAAUCCCCAACAUUGGCAUUGUAGCAGGAAGCUGGCAGGCUCGGCAGGCACAGGCUUCCUUUGGAUGGCAUGCUGCAGAAAUGUCCUUCCAUCGAUGAUUUUGUGGAUGCCCUUGUGUCUGACUUGAAUCUGGACUUUGAAACUUUCUUCAUGGAUUCUAAAUAGCAGAAGCCUGGCUCACGUGGAUAGGAAACUCGUUACCAGAUCCUACAGUUAUGAAGCCUUCACUCCAACUUCAGUGUUCACUGAGGAAGAAAUACUUUCUGACAAGCCUUAAAUUGACAGAAUUCGGAAUAAAUAGUAUGUUUUAAUU